CCCGGCCCGCCCCUUCCAGGCGCGCGGGUUUCUCCCGACAGCGUCGCGGAACCCGGAAAGCCGGGCGCUAGGGCUGCGUCUGCUGGGGCUGUGCUCGGGUCGCUUCCUCAACCUCCCGGAAACUGCAAAUUCCUCUGCGAGCCGUCCGCCCGCCCCCAGCCUCGCUGGCUCGAGUUUCGGAGAGGGCGGGAGCAGAGCGGGGAACUUUCUCUGCGUCCACUCCCUGCUCGCCCCCGCACCAGGGUCCUGUAGGGGUGGGUGGGGGUUGCCCGGCCGAGGGACCCCCCAGGUCCCACGGCUUCCUGCAGCCGCAACGCCCAGUCCUGAACCCCAGCAGCUCGCCCCUCCAGGAGGAUUUCAAGUUGGCAGAGAUGGGUGGGGAGGUCAAAAACUGGGUUGAGUUUAUUCGAAUGAAAACAUCCUUUCUGGUCAUUCAUUUGAGCUUCGGUCUUACCCUUUUCCCCUUCUUUCUAGCGAGGGCUCACUUCCAAAUAAGAUCGUUAUCUUAGGCGCACUCAGUGCAACUGAAAGGUGAACUAGUUCUAUAGUUACAGAACAAUCGAGUGCUUAUCAAUUAAAUGUGCUUUGUAAAUGUCCCCGCCACAAUCAGCCUUCCACGGUCACCCACAAGGCAUGGUUUAAGUGGUGGGGAUAAGGAGAUCAGGGAAUUCCAUCCAUCCACGUACAAAAAAAGUUUCCAUGUUUUCUAAAACUCUUCAGUCAGCUAAUCCUCUUAAAGCCACCAGUGGGUAACAGUCUUUUACACCUUGGUGUUACUGCACUGAUUUAAAUAAUACUAAUUUCAAGAUCUUGACUGAAAGGUUUUUUUGAAGCUGCAAGCCCUGCUAUAGUUAGCGAGCUUCAGAAGAGGUUUCAUUAGGAGGGGAAGAGAGACGUUAGAAAAGAGAAAAUGUCCAUCCAUCAUAGCCAAACUAGCCAAACUCUCUUACAUUAUCUCCUUCAAUCCUCCGAGCAACUCUGCAAGGGGCUUCUAGAAGCAGAGCUGAGGCUGGGAGAUUAAUGCUGUCCUCAAAGUGAAGAGUCACCACUACUUGUCAAGUCAUGUCAUCUCUGCAGCCACGUGCAUUUUGUAAACUGGGAAGAAUAAACAGACAUUUCUGACAUUUUUGCUUGAGAUUUAACCUCAGCGCGUCAAGAGAUAGAGAGGGGAACAGAAAUAAAUAAAAUGUGGCUAAAUAAGGACUGUUUAUCACAAACACAAGGCAGAGAUCUGGUGACCAUAUCUGACUUUGAAAUCUGUGUCUCCAGGAAGAGGAACAUCACACACCAGGGCCUGAUGUGGGGUGGGGGGAGGGGGGAGGGAUAGCAUUAGGAGAUAUACCUAAUGUAAAUGACGAGUUAAUGGUUGCAGCACACCAACGUGGUACACGUAUACAUAUGUAACAAACCUGCACGUUGUGCACAUGUACCCUAGAACUUAAAGUAUAAUUUAAAAAAAAAAAAGAAAUCUGUGUCUCAUGACAACAGCUUUAGGAAAAUAGAAAUGCUUUUUUGUUCAAGAAAGGCAUUCCAGGGAGAAAUUGAGCCUUCUUAAUAAAUACAAGUAAGAGACCUAACAGUGCCCUCAGAAUUUCUGUGGAGGCCUUAGUGGUAGCCUAAGCUGGGCUGCAUAAAUUGUCCAUAUCAAAGGAAAAUUGCUGAUGGAUAUAAUUCAGCAAUUGUUCUCCCUUGUUCCCUGCUGUGCUAUAUCCAUGCCAUAGCUAUAGCUACAUCCACUCUUUCACUACCUUAAGUACUGAGAUCUUAUUAUAUGCAUAGCACCAUGGAAACUGGGUAAGACAUAAAAGAAGAGUUAGAUAGAUUUCUGGCCUUCAAAACCUUAUAAACUAGUUAACGAAAAAAAUAUUCCCCAUAGAACAAUUAUGUAAUGAUAACAGACUGUGAUUACCCAAUCAAUAAACCUGUGAAGAAUGUGUCAAAAUAUAAGCCAAAGUCAGAAGAAUGUGAUAAGAUUUGGUCAAGGGCCGGGCAAGGUGGCUCACGCCUGUAAUCCCAGCACUUUGAGAGGCCAAAGUGGGCAAGUCACUUGAGGUCAGGAGUUCUAGGUCAGCUUGGCCAACAUGGUGAAACCCCAUCUCUACUAAAAAUACAAAAAAAUUAGCUGGGCAUGGUGGCUUGUGCCUGUAAUCCCAGCUACUCGGGAGGUGUGGAAGGAGAAUUGCUUGAACCCGGGAGGCAGAGGUUGCAGUAAACUGAGAUUGCACCACUGCACUCCAGCCUGGGUGACAGAGUGAGACUCUGUCUCAAAACAAAAUAAAUAAAAGAUUUGGUCAGGAAGCCUUCAAAGGAGGUGGGAUUUAGUUUGAUUCUUAAAGGAGAAGGAUACGUAAGAGGAAUAGAAUAGGAAGUUCAGGGAGAAGACAGGUCACUAGCAAAAACUUAAGCACAAUCUAUUUGCCUGCUAAAUCAAACACUUAAAAUAGGCUAGGUGUGGUUGGCGCAUGCCUGUAAUCCCGGCACUUUGGGAGGCUAAGGUGGGUGGAUCACCUGAGGUCAGGAGUUCGAGACCAGCCUGGGCAACAUGGUGAAACCCCAUCUCUACUAAAAAUACAAAAAUUAGCCAGGCGUGGUGGUGCACGACUGUAAAUCCCAGCCACUAGGAAGGCUGAGGCAGGAGAAUCACUUGAACCUGGGAGGGAAAGGUUGCAGUGAGCUGAGAUUGUGACACUGCACUCCAGCCUGGGCAAUAGAGCGAGACUCUGUCUCAAAAUAAAAAUAAAAAUAAAAUAAAUAAAAUAAAAAAUAAAAUAGGCCGGGUGCCAUGGCUCAUGCCUGUAAUCCCAACAUUUUGGGAGGGUGAGGCAGGUGGAUCACGAGGUCAGGAAAUUGAGACCAGCCUGGCCAACAUGGUGAAACUCUGUCUCUACUAAAAAUACAAAAAUUAGCUGGGUACGGUGGUGCAUGCCUGCAAUCCCAGCUACUCGAGGGGCUGAGGAAGGAGAACUGCUUGAACCCAGGAGGUGGAGGUUGCAGUGAGCGAAGAUCGAGCCACUGCACUCCAGUCUGGGCAACAGAGCAAGGCUCCAUCUCAGGAAAAAAAUUAAAAAAUAAAAUAAAAUGGAGAAAAAUUGACCAGAUAUGUGAAGGCCAACGUGUUAAAAAAAAAUACACUGAGGCUGGGUGCGGUGGCUCACGCCUGUAAUCCUAGCAUUGUAGGAGGCCGAAGUGGGUGGAUCACCUGAGGUUGAGAGUUCGAGAUCAGCCUGGGUGGAUCACCUGAGGUUGAGAGUUCGAGAUCAGCCUGACCAACAUGGAGAAACCCGAUCUCUACUAAAAAUACAAAAUUAACCGGGUGUGGUGGCACAUGCCUGUAAUCCCAGCUACUUGGGAGGCUGAAGCAGGAGAAUCACUUGAGCCUGGGAGGUGGAGGUUGCGGUGAGCUGAGAUCACGCCAUUGCACUCCAGCCUGGGCAACAAGAGCAAAACUCCGUCUCAAAAAAAUAUAUAUAUAUAUACUGAAGAGUUAAGAUUUUAUCUGCAGGGAAUUUGGGAACUAGUGGAGUCAGG
rnacentral:lncRNA from 1 species